rnacentral:lncRNA from 1 species
GGCGGCGGGCCGUGCCGCGCGGUGUAUAAACACGUUUUUGUGUGCCUGGCUGUAUGUCUGAGUAAAGAGGUAUUCUCUUGAGGAGUCGCUCAACGCCUGGGCACGGCGUUGCUGGUUUUAUGCUCGUAGUAACGUGUUUUUAGAACCUGACUAAUUUAUGGGACCACCGGUUUAGUGCAGUGGGACUGUUUCCCAUGCGUUUGAGAGGGCGCAUGCUUAUGCUGCCAUUGUUCUUUCUAAAAUUGAAGAGCGUUUUCUUUCCUAAUAAAAUAAGAGUUCAGAGUAAUAGGAGAAAGGAUAUGUAGAGCCAGAUGUUGAAAGCUGCCUCAACAUCGGCUGUAUCAACAGUGGGACAGUACAACAGAUCAACUGGCACCAUAACAGAAGACUUUAGCAAGCAAAUAAAACAACAGUUUUCCUCAAGCAAGCAUAGGAUGCUGUGCAGCUGCUGAACCUCUGCAAGUAGGGAGGGAAGGAGGCCUCUGAGCUGGGCUCUCUUCUGCCAUCAUGUGGAGGACGGGAGUCCUGAUGAGCCAGGAGACCGGAUCCACUAGAUGCUGGAGUGAGGGAAGGAGUAUGUUAUUUGCCGGAGAGAUCUUUGGUUGAUGGAGAAGGGCACUACUAUCUUAGAGGCUGUGGAUUGAUUCUCAUGGAUAUGUGGAGGAGGAAAAGGGUAACUACAGAAAAAGAAGCUGCUGUGCUGAAAUUGCUUCAGGCUAGCUCUUGGAAGGCUGUGAGGAAAGUUACACUGAUCAAGAUGGAAAGAAUGCCAGAAAAAACAAUAAAAGAUUGGAACAAUUGUGAAUCAUGCAAAGACAGAUCUCCUUCUCAGUCAUAGGUUUUGGGAAGACCUUACUGCUUAAAGUUUCAAAACAAAGCCUACAAAGCCGUGGAAAGAGAUGCUUAUGAAAUCAACAGGAAAUUUUAUCUGGUAAGAAAAACACGAGUGUGCUACAGUCAUACGCUUCUUUUUUCUUCUAGCAAGAAGUGCUUAGAGGGGCACAGCAACCCAUAUUUUCUACUCACUGACUCACAGAAGUGACUCUGUACAGACCUUGCUGGUUGCCAAUUUUCAAAUACUGUUUCAAUGAAAAUCACUUUUGAAAUAAAAGGGAAUUAAAUGAA